rnacentral:rRNA from 1 species
GGAUAACCUACCCUUAGGACUGGGAUAACCCUGGGAAACUGGGGCUAAUACCGGAUAGGCAAUUUUUCCUGUAAUGGUUCUUUGUUUAAAUGUUUUUUCGCCUAAGGAUGGGCCUGCGGCCGAUUAGGUAGUUGGUUAGGUAAUGGCUUACCAAGCCGUUGAUCGGUACGGGUUGUGAGAGCAAGAGCCCGGAGAUGGAACCUGAGACAAGGUUCCAGGCCCUACGGGGUGCAGCAGGCGCGAAACCUCCGCAAUGUGAGAAAUCGCGACGGGGGGAUCCCAAGUGCCAUUCUUAACGGGAUGGCUUUUCAUUAGUGUAAAGAGCUUUUGGAAUAAGAGCUGGGCAAGACCGGUGCCAGCCGCCGCGGUAACACCGGCAGCUCUAGUGGUAGCAAUUUUUAUUGGGCCUAAAGCGUCCGUAGCCGGUUUAAUAAGUCUCUGGUGAAAUCCUGCAGCUUAACUGUGGGAAUUGCUGGAGAUACUAUUAGACUUGAGACCGGGAGAGGUUAGAGGUACUCCCAGGGUAGAGGUGAAAUUCUGUAAUCCCGGGAGGACCGCCUGUUGCGAAGGCGUCUAACUGGAACGGUUCUGACGGUGAGGGACGAAAGUUAGGGGCGCGAACCGGAUUAGAUACCCGGGUAGUCCUAACUGUAAACGAUGCGGACUUGGUGUUGGGGGUGGCUUUGAGCUGCUUCAGUGCCGAAAGGGAAGCUGUUAAGUCCGCCGCCUGGGAAGUACGGUCGCAAGACUGAAACUUAA